GACGAACGCUGGCGGCAUGCCUAAUACAUGCAAGUCGAGCGAACAGAUGAAGUGCUUGCACUUCUGACGUUAGCGGCGAACGGGUGAGUAACACGUAAGGAAUCUACCUAUAAGCGGGGGAUAACAUUCGGAAACGGGUGCUAAUACCGCAUAAUAUCUUCUUCCGCAUGGAAGAAGAUUGAAAGACGGCUCUGCUGUCACUUAUAGAUGACCUUGCGGUGCAUUAGUUAGUUGGUGGGGUAACGGCCUACCAAGACGAUGAUGCAUAGCCGACCGGAGAGGGUGAUCGGCCACAUUGGGACUGGGACCCGGCCCAAACUCCUACGGGAGGCAGCAGUAGGGAAUCUUCCGCAAUGGGCGAAAGCCUGACGGAGCAAUGCCGCGUGAGUGAAGAAGGCCUUCGGGUCGUAAAACUCUGUUAUAAGAGAAGAACAAAUUGUAGAGUAACUGCUACAGUCUUGACGGUAUCUUAUCAGAAAGCCACGGCUAACUACGUGCCAGCCGCCGCAGUAA
rnacentral:rRNA from 1 species